CGUGGCGGCAGCCUAAACAUGCAGUCGAACGGUAGCACAGAGAGCUUGCUCUCGGGUGACGAGUGGCGGACGGGUGAGUAAUGUCUGGGAAACUGCCCGAUGGAGGGGGAUAACUACUGGAAACGGUAGCUAAUACCGCAUAAUGUCGCAAGACCAAAGAGGGGGACCUUCGGGCCUCUUGCCAUCAGAUGUGCCCAGAUGGGAUUAGCUAGUUGGUGAGGUAAUGGCUCACCAAGGCGACGAUCCCUAGCUGGUCUGAGAGGAUGACCAGCCACACUGGAACUGAGACACGGUCCAGACUCCUACGGGAGGCAGCAGUGGGGAAUAUUGCACAAUGGGCGCAAGCCUGAUGCAGCCAUGCCGCGUGUGUGAAGAAGGCCUUCGGGUUGUAAAGCACUUUCAGCGGGGAGGAAGGCGAUACGGUUAAUAACCGUGUUGAUUGACGUUACCCGCAUAAGAAGCACCGGCUAACUCCGUGCCAGCAGCCGCGGUAAUACGGAGGGUGCACGCGUUAAUCGGAAUUACUGGGCGUAAAAGCGCACGCACGCCUGUCUG
rnacentral:rRNA from 1 species